UAGGGAAUCUUCCACAAUGGACAAAAGUCUGAUGGAGCAACGCCGCGUGAGUNAAGAAGGGUUUCGGCUCGAAAACUCUGUUGUUAAAGAAGAACAUAUCUGAGAGUAACUGUUCAGGUAUUGACGGUAUUUAACCAGAAAGCCACGGCUAACCUACGUGCCAG
rnacentral:rRNA from 1 species